rnacentral:hammerhead_ribozyme from 1 species
GUCUAGCUGAUGAGUUCAAAAUAGGACAAAGCGCACGUCCUGGAU